rnacentral:tRNA from 1 species
GCCCCUGUAGCUCAGCGGAUAGAGCACCAGCCUCCGGAGCUGGGGGCGAGCGUUCGAGUCGCUCCAGGGGCG